UACGUAGGGGGCGAGCGUUGUCCGGAUUUAUUGGGCGUAAAGAGCUCGUAGGCGGUUUAGUAAGUCGGGUGUGAAAACCCCAGGCUCAACCUGGGGACGCCACCUGAUACUGCUAUGACUUGAGUCUGGUAGGGGACCACGGAAUUCCUGGUGUAGCGGUGAAAUGCGCAGAUAUCAGGAGGAACACCGGUGGCGAAGGCGGUGGUCUGGGCCAGUACUGACGCUGAGGAGCGAAAGCGUGGGUAGCAAACAGG
rnacentral:rRNA from 1 species